rnacentral:tRNA from 1 species
GCAGCCGUGGCCUACUGGUUAGCGCUUCGGACUUGUAACCGGAGGGUUGCCGGUUCGAACUCCGACCAGUCUUG